CUGUUAUAAUCCAUCACUAUAAUUUCCCUUUCCUCUUAUCCUAUUUUCUCUUAUUUUUCACUCCCUACUGUUAUGAUCCGUCAGUAUAAUUUCCCUUUCCUCUUAUCCUAUUUUCUCUUUUAUUUUUCACUCCCUACUGUUAUGAUCCGUCAGUAUACUUUCCCUUUCCUUUUAUCCUAUUUUGGCCCUCGAAAUAAAAACUAGAAAAGGAGGAGGAAGCCGAGGAGUGUGUCGACAAGCAUCGUACUGACGCGCUUAAUUAAAAGUUGACUUCAGGUAUUGAGUAAAAGUCACCCUUCUAUCCUUCCCUUAAGUCUAUAAACAUUGUCACUCAUAACUGCAGAGAUAAUGAAUUUUUUGGUGAUUUCCAGAUAUUUUUGGCUCAAUCAAUUAUUUGUCUGAUAUUUGUCACAGUUAUUUGUCCUUUGGUAUAUUUGCCUUUGUUGUUUUAGGGUGAGAGUGUUCCUUCCUUGUGUUCCUUCCAUCCCCUAAGUCUAUAACAUCCUCACCCUUGUAAACAAACAGCUGAGGAAGGUCACUUUUUGGUAUAGUUUGUGGUAUUUCAUUUCUUGGUAGAGUUGGCUUUGUUGUUCUAGGGUGGCUUUGUUGUUCUAGGGUGACAGUGUUCCUUCCAUCCCCUAAGUCUAUAACAUCCUCACCCUUGUAAACACUGCUGAGGAGGGUGACUUUUUGGUAUAGAUUGUGGUAUUUCAUUUCUUGGUAGAGGUGGCUUUGUUGUUCUAGGGUGGCUUUGUUGUUCUAGGGUGACAGUGUUCCUUCCAUCCCCUAAGUCUAUAACAUCCUCACCCUUGUAAACACUGCUGAGGAGGGUGACUUUUUUUAUAUAGUUUGUGGUAUUUCAUUUCUUGGUAGAGUUGGCUUUGUUGUUCUAGGGUGACAGUAUUCUAAAAUUCACCUCAAUUUCUGUCUAUAUUAUAAGUCAACUUAGGAAAUUAGUUCUUAUUCUGAAUUUGACUUGUAAGCGCGUUUGUACGACUGUUGUUUUACGUUUAGCAGUGCCACAUGACUUUUUUGCAUAUCACUCCAUGUUUCUCUUGUGUGUCACGCCCAUGUUUUCCUUUUUUUUGUAAACUGAUUAAAAAUGUGAGGAAGAA